rnacentral:tRNA from 1 species
GCGCUAUUAAUUUAGUUGGUAGAAUUUUGAUUUUGUAAAUCAAUCGGGGGAGUUCGAAUCUUCCAUAGCGCA